UUUUUUUUUUUUUUUAAUUUAUUGUCAUUAGGCGAAUUCAAUUCCAACUAGCAUUUGUCCAAAGCUGCUCAUAAAAGCCAACUUUGAUCAUAGCGUUCACAUAACAUCAGUUCCACCAGAAAUUCACUCAUUCACGGAACCACGAUUACUGAUAGCAACAGUUAAAUCCUCUGAUUGUAUAGAUUGAUCUAACUUCAUAUAUGGAAGAGCACCACUAAGAAUUAUGGUGCAUAUUAAACUAGUACAACCCAAAAGCAGGAGCCAAAAAACAUCCAACAAAGCAUGAAUAAUGUAAGAAACUUGCCCAAAUACAACAUUUAUAAUCAACAUCCAAGUUUCAUGUAUUUGAUGAAGUUGAUGCUCCGGACCCUGAAGGUAGAGGUCCAGCGCUUGCAGAUGCAGAAGGUGCAGUCCUUGGUGGCACGACAGAAUGCUGGUGCUGCUGGGUGGCUUGGGGAGCGUGUGGUGGGGGAACCGCAGGAUGAUAUGAUGGAGGGUACUGCUGAUAAGGGGGCAUUGGCGGCAUAUACCCAUAUGAAGGAUAAAGUUGUUGCUGAUAUUGCCCGUGUGGCGGUGGCAUACCCUGAUAAGGAUAGUGCUGCCCUUGCUGCCUCUCCAGUGCAUUUUUGUUCUCCCCAGAUCCCAUUGGCCCACUGGAAGCCCCAUCUUGGGAUGGAACAAGGGCACCCAUUCUUUGAGGAUCCAUUGAUGGGUAAAAGGUUCUUUCCUGCUGAGGUGGUGGUGGAAUAUUGAAGUAGUGCAUUGGUGGAGGUUGGACUUGAGGUCCAGGUGGGUGUAAUUGAUUCUGCUGCUGAGAUAUAACUGCCCGAGGUAACAUCCCGCCAUGAGCCAUUGCUGCUUGUUGCCUUGCUUCUUCCGAAGCUUCAGACUCAGGUUUUGGAGCUUGGGGUCUUCCCCACAUUAGCUUCAGCCUCAGACCCUUGAUAACUAGCUUAUUAGACAGCUCUUCUGCAGCCUUCUCUGCACCCUCUCUCGUUGUGUAGGUUACAAAGGCAAUUGCUCGUUGAGGCACCAUCUUAAUGGAUUCAAUCUCACCAUGAGCAUAAAAAUUAUCCCUCAAAUCCUGCUCUGUAAUCCUUGCAUCAAGUCCACCAACAUAAAGAGUUCUAAUGCUUUCAUCUUCAGGUGCCUCCAAUGAGGGCAUUUCACCAGCCUUGUUAAGUAGCUUCAAUGCCACUGGGUCAUUCACACCAUAGUAACGAUCUUUUAUGUUUUGCUGUGAUAACUCCCCAGUUACGGGCAUCUCAUGCCUAUAAGGGCACUCAGCACCUCGUGUGCAUUCACCCCGUACAUAGAAACUACAAACAUGUGCUCGAUUCCUUUUGUAGUAUGGUGUUGUUCUUUGAAGUUUCAGAAUAGUGUCAUUUGGCCGCACCUUUCCAUAUGAAGAUUCAUAAUCUAUACCAGCUCUGGUCUGCAUUGUGCAGCAGCCAAAAUAGAUGUCAGAUUCUAGACCCCAACAUGGCUGAUUAAGUAAUAAUAAUUAGAUCUAAUUGAAGCAAACCUAGAACCAUUUGCAUAGAUCUCUCCAUAGUACAAGUCAAUUGGACAAUGAAUCUUGAUAAUUUAUGAACAAAGCAACCAACAAUGUCAAACCAAAACACAACAACAUGGAGGAUUUGGUUGGCUAAUGGAACAGAAUGGGAAUAGAAUAGCUAUUCCAUGAUUUCAUAUUUGGUUGAAAGUUUAAAUGUGCAAUAGUUAUACAUAUAGAAUAGAUAAUUCCAAAUUUGGGGAAUAUAAAUUCUACAAAUAAGUGAGAAAUGAUUAUUUUCUGCCUAUGGAAUGGCUACUCCAUUGGGUGAACUAAACAAAGUAUGAUAACUAUAAAACACAAAAAAUGUACAGAAUUAUAGAUACAAGAUGACCAAAAAUGCAAGUAACAACACCACCCUGAUAAUAGAAAAUAAUAAUUUGAAUAGAUACCAAUUCAGAUCAUCAACAAUGCUAACUUAACCUCUCCAUGUCAAAAAUACAUAAAUAAACACAAGUACAUAGUUUACUUGCGUUUCAUUCACCAUUGGGUAAUACCAACACCGUUAAUUCUAGGAAAUUUAAGAUGUGCCAUAUUCCAAAGGAAUCACAUUUUGGAUAGUAAGAGGCUACUAAACUAAACUUAAUUAAAAGCAUAGAUAAUCUUACCCUGCGGUCAUGCUCCUCAGC
rnacentral:misc_RNA from 1 species